GACGAACGCUGGCGGCGUGCCUAACACGUGCAAGUCGAGCGGGGAUUUAAGUGGAAGUUCUUCGGAAUGGAGAUUUAAAUUCUAGCGGCGGACGGGUGAGUAACGCGUGAACAAUCUGUUCCGGACAGGGGGAUAACACUUGGAAACAGGUGCUAAUACCGCAUAAGACCACGGCCUCGCAUGGGGCUGAGGUAAAAGGAGCAAUCCGGUUCGGGGUGAGUUCGCGUCCGAUUAGCUAGUUGGUGAGGUAACGGCCCACCAAGGCGACGAUCGGUAGCCGGCCUGAGAGGGUGAACGGCCACAUUGGAACUGAGAGACGGUCCAAACUCCUACGGGAGGCAGCAGUGGGGAAUAUUGGGCAAUGGGCGAAAGCCUGACCCAGCAACGCCGCGUGAGGGAAGAAGGUUUUCGGAGUGUAAACCUCUGUCCUAUGGGACGAAGGAAGUGACGGUACCAUAGGAGGAAGCCCCGGCUAACUACGUG
rnacentral:rRNA from 1 species